CGGGACGGAUGAGUAAUGUCUGGGAAACUGCCCGAUGGAGGGGGGUAACUACUGGAAACGGUAGCUAAUACCGCAUAACGUCGCAAGACCAAAGAGGGGGACCUUAGGGCCUCUUGCCAUCGGAUGUGCCCAGAUGGGAUUAGCUAGUAGGUGGGGUAACGGCUCACCUAGGCGACGAUCCCUAGCUGGUCUGAGAGGAUGACCAGCCACACUGGAACUGAGACACGGUCCAG
rnacentral:rRNA from 1 species